AUGCUUACAGGCAAGAAAUUAAAGGCAUACCCUGAGGUCUUGACCCCCGACGGAGGGACAUUGUUGCACUUUGCUGCCAUGUUAGGGUCCACUUGUGAAAGGCAAGAGUCGCAAAAUGAUUACAAAGUUGCUAUGAGAGAUUAUGUUUGUCCUGUGCCAAAGUAUUUGAAUAGGGGUCACUGAAUAGUUGAUUAUGAAAAUGGUGUGAUCAUAUACCAUGGCUUUCACAGUCACCAGAUCUCAACCAAGACUAUCAGGGGAAAUUUGACUGACAUAACAGAUAGAUAAUAGCUCUGUUAGUGUUUCAGAAUCAAUUCCAGUAAACACUGAAGCUCUUGCGGAGGCAUGUGUUGUACAAAUACUUCAUGAACUUGACUUUGCCACCUGCUUGUACACAUUGCUUCUUUGGUUUGGGUCUGUUAUGUUUCUACAUAUUUGUGUCUUUUAAACCUGUUGGCAGAGAAUGCUAUUUGUGUGUAACUUAAUAAAAAAUAUACAACAUGUUUCUCUUUCUAUAGAUUGUAUUUAUUUAUGCUUGUAUGUUUUGUCAGUGCCUUUCGGACUAUAGUGAUGCUGAUUCAGAGAAGGUCAGUAAGUCUAAGUCAUUCAUUCAUUAAGUUAUUCCACAACUCACUGUUACUGUAAUACAAAACACUUUAUUAAAAUGAAUGAAACAGUGAAACACAAAGACAACACUGCAAUCAAUCAGUACAACACAAAGACAGCACUGCAAUCAAUCAGUGAACUUGAUUCUGACUCUAAUGUAAGGUUUUUUAAAAGAUCAAUUGUGUACCAAAAGAUAAAAGUGUAAUGGCUUGAUCAUUGUAUUGUAAAAGACUACGGGAAAAAAAUAACAACAACUGCAAUCAGUGAUAUUUUAAAAGAGUACAAAAAGAUAAAAGUUGAAUGUCUUGAUCAUUCUAAAAGUCAAUUGUCCGGCAAACCCAUAUGGGGUGCCACACCAGGUCCUGCUCUGUAAUGGAAAACCCUUUUAAACCUCCCCAAGCUGGUCAACCAUGGAGGUAAAGUGCUCGUAGCUGCUAAAAACUAUAUUUUUCAGACCUGUUGAUGGGGACAUCAUUUUUACAGAGCAGAAAGUUUUUUAAAAAAUAUUUUUUAUGUCCUUGGGUUGGCUGGUGGCAGAUUCUGCAAAUGGGAAGGUUUUGCACCCGUGACACUUUGGCUCCUACUUCUGAGGGGUGAUCCUUAAGCUUACGCUUAUACUGUGUUGCCCUUGCCCAGACUGAAGGUCUGC
rnacentral:lncRNA from 1 species